UGACAAUUGCCCGUAAUUGAAAUGACACGACCUAUUGGCACUAUACGUCAGUGCCACCAUGUACACUAACUCUCGAUUGUUCUGCAGGCCUGCGAUGAGUGAGCGGGUGGAGACAGUGGAGAUCGUCCAUCCUGCUGAAACGUCUCUGCAGGAGGUCAGAGACAGCGAGACUGAAGCUCAGAGGCCUGCGAUGAGUGAGCGGGUGGAGACAGUGGAGAUCGUCCAUCCUGCUGAAACGUCUCUGCAGGAGGUCAGGGACAGCGAGACUGAAGCUCAGAGGCCUGCGAUGAGUGAGCGGGUGGAGACAGUGGAGAUCGUCCAUCCUGCUGAAACGUCUCUGCAGGAGGUCAGGGACAGCGAGACUGAAGCUCAGAGCUCUCAGAGACCAGACUGUCCAGGACCCAGCAUGCCCGCGGGGGGGAGCCUUCUCAGUCCUGAUGAGUCCCCAGACCCCGGGGUGUCUAUCAAGAGUACUGCGUCUAACGAUCACGUCACUAGUUCCUCUCUUGAAGAACCUGUGGCACCAACUGGAUCAAGCUGUGACAAGUCACCAGAUGGCAUCAAUGCACAAAAAAAUACCUCUUCUUAUUACCAGAGGCGGAGGAAGUACAUUCUAUCUAAGUAAAAGUCGUAAUACCAAAGUGUAGAAAUACUCUGCUUUAGCUAAAGACUCAUAUAUGAGACUUAUAUGUCCCCUUUGUUCUACACACGUACAGACUGCUUGCACUCUGUAUGACUAUUGGACCUUCUUUGCAAAGAAUAAAUAUUCUAAAAACAAGUUUAUUCCUCAACAAUCUUCAUUUCAGUAUUAUAAACUUCACUGGUCAUUUGUAUAAGGACUUAAUUCAAACUUUCUACAUAUAUACAACUGGCUAUUGAGGUGACUUGGUGUAAAUAAGGUCAAUUAAUAAAUAUAACAAAAUGAUAUUAACUAUAAUAAUAAUAAUAAUUAUAUUUAAUGUUAAUGCACCUGCUUCAUUGUAGUGCCUAUUUUGAAGUCCCUAUUAAUUGUUUUAUUAAUAUUAAAGUUUCACCUUUAAUUCAUAAUUUCAUGUCUUUGUGUGAUUUCAGUGAACUGACCAUUAAUUAACUAAAAUAACUGCAGUUACAGGUCUGGUGUUGUAUUUAUGUUGUUAUAUCUACAGCAGAGUUUUAGCAGUGCUACAGUAUCAGUCAGAGGCCAGCGGUCUUCUGGCAGGUGAACAUUGUUUUUAGUUGUAAGACUCAUUUAGGCCUCGAGGGUGUACCACUACCCAUCGAACUAUAAAGGGAAGAAU
ensembl:lncRNA